rnacentral:rRNA from 1 species
GACGAACGCUGGCGGCGUGCCUAAUACAUGCAAGUAGAACGCUGAAGAGAGGAGCUUGCUCUUCUUGGAUGAGUUGCGAACGGGUGAGUAACGCGUAGGUAACCUGCCUUGUAGCGGGGGAUAACUAUUGGAAACGAUAGCUAAUACCGCAUAACAAUGGAUGACACAUGUCAUUUGUUUGAAAGGGGCAAUUGUUCCACUACAAGAUGGACCUGCGUUGUAUUAGCUAGUAGGUGAGGUAAUGGCUCACCUAGGCGACGAUACAUAGCCGACCUGAGAGGGUGAUCGGCCACACUGGGACUGAGACACGGCCCAGACUCCUACGGGAGGCAGCAGUAGGGAAUCUUCGGCAAUGGGGGCAACCCUGACCGAGCAACGCCGCGUGAGUGAAGAAGGUUUUCGGAUCGUAAAGCUCUGUUGUAAGUCAAGAACGGGUGUGAGAGUGGAAAGUUCACACUGUGACGGUAGCUUACCAGAAAGGGACGGCUAACUACGUGCCAGCAGCCGCGGUAAUACGUAGGUCCCGAGCGUUGUCCGGAUUUAUUGGGCGUAAAGCGAGCGCAGGCGGUUUGAUAAGUCUGAAGUUAAAGGCUGUGGCUCAACCAUAGUUCGCUUUGGAAACUGUCAAACUUGAGUGCAGAAGGGGAGAGUGGAAUUCCAUGUGUAGCGGUGAAAUGCGUAGAUAUAUGGAGGAACACCGGUGGCGAAAGCGGCUCUCUGGUCUGUAACUGACGCUGAGGCUCGAAAGCGUGGGGAGCGAACGGGAUUAGAUACCCUGGUAGUCCACGCCGUAAACGAUGAGUGCUAGGUGUUGGAUCCUUUCCGGGAUUCAGUGCCGCAGCUAACGCAUUAAGCACUCCGCCUGGGGAGUACGACCGCAAGGUUGAAACUCAAAGGAAUUGACGGGGGCCCGCACAAGCGGUGGAGCAUGUGGUUUAAUUCGAAGCAACGCGAAGAACCUUACCAGGUCUUGACAUCCCGAUGCUAUUUCUAGAGAUAGAAAGUUACUUCGGUACAUCGGUGACAGGUGGUGCAUGGUUGUCGUCAGCUCGUGUCGUGAGAUGUUGGGUUAAGUCCCGCAACGAGCGCAACCCCUAUUGUUAGUUGCCAUCAUUCAGUUGGGCACUCUAGCGAGACUGCCGGUAAUAAACCGGAGGAAGGUGGGGAUGACGUCAAAUCAUCAUGCCCCUUAUGACCUGGGCUACACACGUGCUACAAUGGUUGGUACAACGAGUUGCGAGUCGGUGACGGCGAGCUAAUCUCUUAAAGCCAAUCUCAGUUCGGAUUGUAGGCUGCAACUCGCCUACAUGAAGCCGGAAUCGCUAGUAAUCGCGGAUCAGCACGCCGCGGUGAAUACGUUCCCGGGCCUUGUACACACCGCCCGUCACACCACGAGAGUUUGUAACACCCGAAGUCGGUGAGGUAACCUUUUGGAGCCAGCCGCCUAAGGUGGGACAGGUGA